AUUGAACGCUGGCGGCAGGCCUAACACAUGCAAGUCGAACGAGUGGCGGACGGGUGCGUAAUGUCUGGGAAACUGCCUGAUGGAGGGGGAUAACUACUGGAAACGGUAGCUAAUACCGCAUACCAUCGGAUGUGCCCAGAUGGGAUUAGAUAGUAGGUGGGGUAACGGCUCACAUAGGCGACGAUCCCUAGCUGGUCUGAGAGGAUGACCAGCCACACGGGAACGGAGACACGGUCCAGACUCCUACGGUAGGCAGCAGGGGGGAAUAUUGCACGAUGGGCGCAAGGCUGAUGCAGCCAGGCCGCGUGUAUGAAGAAGGCCUUCGGGUUGUAAAGUACUUUCAGCGUGGAGGCGUUACCCGCAGAAGAAGCACCGGCUAACUCCGUGCCAGCAGCCGCGGUAAUAC
rnacentral:rRNA from 1 species